AAAUCCAAGCAAAUCGAAGCUACAAUUAAAGUGAAACGCUGUUGAAGCCCUAGUUUCACUGAAGACACAAUUCAAUCGAAGCCCUAAGAAAAAUAAAGACAAAAAAUUAAGAGAAUUACAGUGAAAAGCAAAAUGAAGAAAAAGAACUAUAAACCGGGAGCCCUAAUUCCGCAAAAUAAAGAAGCUCCGAAUCGAAACCCCGAAUGAACCUGAGACCAAGCCUUAAUCCAUUGACAGUUGAGUUUGAGGGGAGAGGAUCCCCGAUUUACCUAAUCGCCGGUGAGUUCGAGCAGAUAGAGGAGUGGUUCAACCGAGAGAGCUGAGGUUCAGGGGAGAUGAGUGAGGUUGAGCGGAUGUGAGGUGAGUGAAAUAUAUUUGACUGAAAUGUGAAAUAUGUCUGAAUGUCUA
rnacentral:lncRNA from 1 species